rnacentral:rRNA from 1 species
UACGGAGGGAGCUAAGCGUUGUUGCGGAAAUUAUUGGGCGUAAAGAGCUUCGUAGGCGGUCUGUCGCAGUCCGGGAUCGUGAAAAACCCGCAGGCUCAACUGUGGGCUUGCAGCUGGAUACGGGCAGGCUUGAGUUCGGUAGGGGAGACUGGAAUUCCUGGUGUAGCGGUGAAAUGCGGCAGCAGUAUCAGGAGGAACACCGGUGGCGAAGGCGGGUCUCUGGGCCGUUACUGGACGCUGAGGAGCGAAAGCGUGGGGAGCGAACAGG